AAAUUUCAUUAUGUUUUCAUCAGCCACUGUAUCCGAUGAUUAAUAACAGGAUUUCUUCUCGAAUUUUAGACAUUAUUUAUAUAAGUAGUACCCAUGUUGAGUGAUUGGUUGCAAAAUGCUUGGACUACCCUGUUCUUCUAUCUGAUACGUCCCAUGUGGAAGUGGGUUCUACGAAGAGCAACAGGAAAAUGUGAACUUCUGCGUAUUACUUAUGAAGAAAGAAAGGGGGCUAAAAGAACUCUCAAAAUAGAGAGAAGUCUUAAACUUUCGAAUGUUCCAUAUCUUCAUCAGCUCAGCAAGGAAGAGGAUGUGGAUAUUCUUGUAGCCAGCUGAAGAGGUUAUGAGAAUUAAGCAGAUUGUGCCAGAGGAUUCACAUGAAAUUUAGGGGAGAUUUUCAAAAUUGCCUGUGUCAAAUAUGUGGAUACAAAAGAUUAACAAGAGAAGUGGAAAUGAUGAGGAAGACACCAUAUUCCCAAGAAAAUCCAGAACAUGAAGAAAAAUUAAUGAAGCUUUGGGAAAUCUUAAUGCCAGAUGAGAAGUUGGAAUCCAGAAAAUCCAAACAGUGGUCUAUUAUAGGAUUUCAAGGGGAGGAUCCAAUGACAGAUUUCAGAGGCAUGGGUAUUUUAGGCCUCAAUCAACUUUUGUAUUUUGCCAUACAAUAUUCUGAUCAGCUUAAAACAUCUUCUCUCUCGAUCUCAUCAUCCUAAAUAUGGAUACUCCUUGGCAAUUGUUGGUAUCAAUUUAACCAAUAUGAUUUACCAAGCAUUAGUGAAUGGACCGCUACGCACUCACUUCUACAAUAUAGCAGAAAAAGCACCAAGAAUCCAAGAUUUCCAUGAGGUUUAUUGUCAUGUGUUCUGGGAAUUUGACAAGUUUUGGUUUGACGAAGAGCCAGUUGACAUCAUGCAGUUUGGGCCAAUGAGGGACAAAUUUAACCGAAAACUGUUACAUAAACUGUCCAAAAGUCAGACCAUUUUACAGUCUGAAUUUCAAAAAAAGGAAUAAAAUUGUGUUCAUUUGCGCAU
rnacentral:misc_RNA from 1 species